rnacentral:rRNA from 1 species
AGAGUUCGAUCAUGGCUCAGAUUGAACGCUGGCGGCAGGCCUAACACAUGCAAGUCGAACGGUAACAGGAAACAGCUUGCUGUUUCGCUGACGAGUGGCGGACGGGUGAGUAAUGUCUGGGAAACUGCCUGAUGGAGGGGGAUAACUACUGGAAACGGCAGCUAAUACCGCAUAACGUCGCAAGACCAAAGAGGGGGACCUUCGGGCCUCUUGCCAUCAGAUGUGCCCAGAUGGGAUUAGCUAGUAGGUGGGGUAACGGCUCACCUAGGCGACGAUCCCUAGCUGGUCUGAGAGGAUGACCAGCCACACUGGAACUGAGACACGGUCCAGACUCCUACGGGAGGCAGCAGUGGGGAAUAUUGCACAAUGGGCGCAAGCCUGAUGCAGCCAUGCCGCGUGUAUGAAGAAGGCCUUCGGGUUGUAAAGUACUUUCAGCGGGGAGGAAGGGAGUAAAGUUAAUACCUUUGCUCAUUGACGUUACCCGCAGAAGAAGCACCGGCUAACUCCGUGCCAGCAGCCGCGGUAAUACGGAGGGUGCAAGCGUUAAUCGGAAUUACUGGGCGUAAAGCGCACGCAGGCGGUUUGUUAAGUCAGAUGUGAAAUCCCCGGGCUCAACCUGGGAACUGCAUCUGAUACUGGCAAGCUUGAGUCUCGUAGAGGGGGGUAGAAUUCCAGGUGUAGCGGUGAAAUGCGUAGAGAUCUGGAGGAAUACCGGUGGCGAAGGCGGCCCCCUGGACGAAGACUGACGCUCAGGUGCGAAAGCGUGGGGAGCAAACAGGAUUAGAUACCCUGGUAGUCCACGCCGUAAACGAUGUCGACUUGGAGGUUGUGCCCUUGAGGCGUGGCUUCCGGAGCUAACGCGUUAAGUCGACCGCCUGGGGAGUACGGCCGCAAGGUUAAAACUCAAAUGAAUUGACGGGGGCCCGCACAAGCGGUGGAGCAUGUGGUUUAAUUCGAUGCAACGCGAAGAACCUUACCUGGUCUUGACAUCCACGGAAGUUUUCAGAGAUGAGAAUGUGCCUUCGGGAACCGUGAGACAGGUGCUGCAUGGCUGUCGUCAGCUCGUGUUGUGAAAUGUUGGGUUAAGUCCCGCAACGAGCGCAACCCUUAUCCUUUGUUGCCAGCGGUCCGGCCGGGAACUCAAAGGAGACUGCCAGUGAUAAACUGGAGGAAGGUGGGGAUGACGUCAAGUCAUCAUGGCCCUUACGACCAGGGCUACACACGUGUUACAAUGGCGCAUACAAAGAGAAGCGACCUCGCGAGAGCAAGCGGACCUCAUAAAGUGCGUCGUAGUCCGGAUUGGAGUCUGCAACUCGACUCCAUGAAGUCGGAAUCGCUAGUAAUCGUGGAUCAGAAUGCCACGGUGAAUACGUUCCCGGGCCUUGUACACACCGCCCGUCACACCAUGGGAGUGGGUUGCAAAAGAAGUAGGUAGCUUAACCUUCGGGAGGGCGCUUACCACUUUGUGAUUCAUGACUGGGGUGAAGUCGGAACAAGGUAACCGUAGGGGAACCUGCGGUUG